UGAAACAGUGAUCACAAUGGAAGCCUUUUGGUAGCCCUCAACUUCCCUCACACAACCCCACUCACAACAGGACUCUCCACUUUCUCUCUCUCCAAAUCCUAACCCUAAUUAAGACCCUAACCCAAUACCCACUCCACCUAAGGCUCCCAUAAAAUGGCAAUCACAACAGGAGAAGGUAAAUGAACUCAUGAAGACUUGGAGACCACAGAGCAAGGGAUGCACAGAACGCAAGAGGAGCACGGUAGCACAAUGCACUGCCUUCAGGAAGUUGGUUUUGUUUUUAUGGAAAACCAGGAAGAGGUAACGACAUUGGAAUUAAGAGCUUCACAUUUGCCAUGGGAAAGAGGAGAAAACCACAGAGCUUGGGGCAGAUGAGCAGGGCAGAAGCUGCACGGCUGGAGCUGCUUGCAGUGGUCACCCAAGGCUGGAGCCCACGAGUGAGGAACAAAGGGAAGAGUUCAUUGUGCAAAAUGAAGCGCUCAGCACAGCAGAGGAAGAAGCCACACGCUGCUCAGAACAGAGGGAGUUUCAGAUUUAUCCAUACUUGAAGUAUUUUCCUUGCUGAAACUCUGUCUCCAACACGUCUCCCAACUUCCAUUUCUGCCCCCUAUUGCUGCAGGGGACAUCAGCUCCUUGGGUAGAGGCCAGCAGUACUGCAGAUGCCAUUCAUUUAGAGUCCACAAUUACCCAUCCUGGUGCAGUAAAGUUGCCUCUUUCAAGAACUUUCUGCUCCAAGUUAUUGCCUGAUUAUUUUAAAACGUGUUACAUUUGUUUAGGAUCA